rnacentral:rRNA from 1 species
AGAGUUUGAUCCUGGCUCAGAUUGAACGCUGGCGGCAUGCUUUACACAUGCAAGUCGAACGGUAACAGGGAGCUUGCUCCGCUGACGAGUGGCGAACGGGUGAGUAAUGCAUCGGAACGUACCCAGUAGUGGGGGAUAACGUAGCGAAAGUUACGCUAAUACCGCAUACGUCCUACGGGAGAAAGUGGGGGACCGCAAGGCCUCACGCUAUUGAAUGAGCCGAUGUCGGAUUAGCUAGUUGGCGGGGUAAAGGCCCACCAAGGCGACGAUCCGUAGCUGGUCUGAGAGGAUGAUCAGCCACACUGGAACUGAGACACGGUCCAGACUCCUACGGGAGGCAGCAGUGGGGAAUAUUGGACAAUGGGCGCAAGCCUGAUCCAGCCAUGCCGCGUGAGUGAAGAAGGCCCUCGGGUUGUAAAGCUCUUUUGUUGGGAAAGAAAUCCUGUUGGCUAAUACCCGGCGGGGAUGACGGUACCCAAAGAAUAAGCACC